GAUGAACGCUGACAGAAUGCUUAACACAUGCAAGUCUUUGGCGAAGCUGUGCUUGCACAGCCUAGCCAAGGCGGACGGGUGAGUAACGCGUAAGGAACUUGCCCUGCAGUCAGGGAUAGCAGACGGAAACGACUGAUAAGACCUGGUAAAGUCAGGCGGACUCAUGUCCAGCCUGAUGAAAAGAGAUGCUGCAGGAGAGCCUUGCGUCCUAUUAGCUUGUUGGUGGGGUAACGGCCCACCAAGGCGAUGAUAGGUAGCCGGCCUGAGAGGGUGGACGGCCACAAGGGGACUGAGAUACGGCCCUUACUCCUACGGGAGGCAGCAGUGGGGAAUAUUGGACAAUGGGGGCAACCCUGAUCCAGCAAUUCUGUGUGCACGAUGAAGGUUUUCGGAUUGUAAAGUGCUUUCAGCAGGGAAGAAAAAAAUGACGGUACCUGCAGAAGAAGCGACGGCUAAAUACGUG
rnacentral:rRNA from 1 species